rnacentral:ncRNA from 1 species
ACUGCUUCACACCCCCGGGCCAAUGGAUAGUCUCAGGUAGACAGUUAGUAUGGUGCGCAUGCCUCCCAAAAGGUAACAGAGGCAUGCAAACAUUUUCUCGGACCAGACGGACAUUGGUCCUCAAGUGAAAAGGCAGAAGAAAGCUUGAAAGCAAGACUCACUCAUCGAGCAAAGACAAAAGUUGGCCUUAGUAAUCAGAAGGUGCCAAGUGGAAGUCUUAGAAAUG